AAACAGCAGAUGCAUUGGAAGAGCUUAGGAGUUACAGAGAAAUGAAAGACCUGCUACUUUCUAAGAGUGGAACUCGGGUGGCUAGUAAAGAAGAAGCUUAACUACUAAUACUUUGAUGGGUUAUUAUAGAUGAUAGAAAUUGUCCCAAUCUGCACUAUUUACCAUAGCAUCUGACGCUUUUGUGAAGAUAGAUAUAACAAGUUAUGUACGUAUCAUGUUUGUUAGCCAUUAUAGAUACCUGAAAGAAAAACAAAGUAGAAAACAUCUUGAAUGAACAAAAAACAU
rnacentral:misc_RNA from 1 species